CACUGAAAUAGGUAAUGAUAAUAAUAGCUACUGCUUUUUAAGUUCCUAGGAAAAAUUAGAUGUUCUGUAAAUACUACCUCUGAUCCUACUAUCUUUAUAAGUUACAUAUUAUUUGCCUCAUUUUAGAGAAACUGGGAAAGUGGCCCGAGGUCUAAGAGCUGGAAACAAACAGUAGAACCAGAAUGUGAAUCCAGGUCUAUGAUAAAACUAUGGAGAAGAAGAUGGAGCCAGAAGUGUACAAGUCUGGAAUAUGACAGCUACUCACUGUCAAGGAAUUAAUGAGUCUAUAGUACUAUGCAGCACUGAGCAUGUUCUCCUAUCUCCUCAAAGAAGAGAGAGAACCCUUACAUUUACUUAUCAGAGAACUGAGAAAAUGAAACCACAUUCUUCAUGUGUGAAGAAUCAAGUGACAUUGUACCCUAGGGACUCAAUAAGGCUACUCCAUCUUGCAAAAAAAAAGAUAUCUUACUAGAAAUAUUAAAAUAAAAUGUCAAGAUGUGUAUUA
rnacentral:lncRNA from 1 species